rnacentral:rRNA from 1 species
UACGUAGGGUGCAAGCGUUGUCCGGAAUUAUUGGGCGUAAAGAGCUCGUAGGCGGUCUGUCGCGUCGGCUGUGAAGACCCGGAGCUCAACUCCGGGCCUGCAGUCGAUACGGGCAAACUGGAGUGUUGCAGGGGAGACUGGAAUUCCUGGUGUAGCGGUGAAAUGCGCAGAUAUCAGGAGGAACACCGGUGGCGAAGGCGGGUCUCUGGGCAACAACUGACGCUGAGACGCGAAAGCGUGGGGAGCAAACAGG